rnacentral:rRNA from 1 species
GAUGAACGCUGGCGGCGUGCCUAAUACAUGCAAGUCGAGCGAACAGACGAGGAGCUUGCUCCUCUGACGUUAGCGGCGGACGGGUGAGUAACACGUGGAUAACCUACCUAUAAGACUGGGAUAACUUCGGGAAACCGGAGCUAAUACCGGAUAAUAUAUUGAACCGCAUGGUUCAAUAGUGAAAGACGGUUUUGCUGUCACUUAUAGAUGGAUCCGCGCCGCAUUAGCUAGUUGGUAAGGUAACGGCUUACCAAGGCGACGAUGCGUAGCCGACCUGAGCGCGUGAUCGGCCACACUGGAACUGAGACACGGUCCAGACUCCUACGGGAGGCAGCGGUAGGGAAUCUUCCGCAAUGGGCGAGAGCCUGACGGAGCAACGCCGCGUGAGUGAUGAAGGUCUUCGGAUCGUAAAACUCUGUUAUUAGGGAAGAACAAAUGUGUAAGUAACUAUGCACGUCUUGACGGUACCUAAUCAGAAAGCCACGGCUAACUACGUG